UUGGACCAUACUCCAUUCACAGAGGGAGCCAGUGUUAAAUGACAGGAUCAUGUCACAUGAAGUCUAUUGUCUCAUCUGGAUGUUUGCGCUGUUCCUAGGAAAUCUGUCCUUCUACGUGGAGCAGUCUCCUUCUAUUGUUUCGAUUACGAGAGGGGACUCAGAUACACUUAAAUGCAUGCUGAAGAAUACAGCUUACAGCUAUAUGUACUGGUACAGACAGCAACCCAGCCGGGCAAUAGAAGCUUUAUUCUACUCUACUGGUGAAGGUUUAGCUACAAAUUACACAUCGGAAUCUUAUCAGGCUAAAAGACCCAGUGAAACGACGUUUACUUUAGAACUGAAAGGUGCCUCUCCAUCUCACACGGCUGUCUAUUUCUGCGCGUGCAGUAGCACACAUUGUUUAAGUUAA